rnacentral:rRNA from 1 species
AUUGAACGCUGGAGGCAGGCCUAACACAUGCAAGUCGAGCGAGCGGCGGACGUGUGAGUAAUGUAUGGGGAUCCGCACGACAGAGGGGGAUAACUACUGGAAACGUUAGCUAAUACCGCAUACCAUCAGAUGAACCCAUAUGGGAUUAGCUAGUAGGUGGGGUAAUGGCUCACCUAGGCGACGAACCCUGGCGGGUCUGAGAGGAUGACCAGCCACACUGGAAUGGAGUCACGGUCCUGACUCCUACGGGAGUGAGCAGUGGGGAAUAUUGCACAAUGGGCGCAAGCAUUAUGCUGCCAUGCCGCGUGUAUGAAGAAGGCCUUCGGGUUGUAAAGUACUUUCAGUCGGGGGGCGUUACCGACAGAAGAAGCACCGGCUAACUCCGUGCCAGCAGCCGCGGUAAUUC